CAGAGAAUAGUUUAUUAAAAUUUUAAUUUUGGAGAUUAAAGAUAAGGAUUUCCUUUUCUCUGA
rnacentral:tRNA from 1 species